rnacentral:rRNA from 1 species
UGGUCUUGACAUGUACGGAAUCCUCCAGAGAGGGAGGAGUGCCUUCGGGAGCCGUAACACAGGUGCUGCAUGGCUGUCGUCAGCUCGUGUCGUGAGAUGUUGGGUUAAGUCCCGCAACGAGCGCAACCCUUGUCAUUAGUUGCCAUCAUUAAGUUGGGCACUCUAAUGAGACUGCCGGUGACAAGCCGGAGGAAGGUGGGGAUGACGUCAAGUCCUCAUGGCCCUUAUGACCAGGGCUUCACACGUCAUACAAUGGUCGGUACAGAGGGUAGCCAAGCCGCGAGGUGGAGCCAAUCUCACAAAACCGAUCGUAGUCCGGAUUGCACUCUGCAACUCGAGUGCAUGAAGUCGGAAUCGCUAGUAAUCGCAGGUCAGCAUACUGCGGUGAAUACGUUCCCGGGUC